rnacentral:rRNA from 1 species
AUUGAACGCUGGCGGCAGGCCUAACACAUGCAAGUCGAGCGAGUGGCGGACGGGUGAGUAAUGUAUGGGAAUCUGCCCGAUAGAGGGGGAUAACUACUGGAAACGGUGGCUAAUACCGCAUACCAUCAGAUGUACCCAUAUGGGAUUAGCUUGUGGGUGGGGUAAAGGCUCACCUAGGCGACGAUCCCUAGCUGGUCUGAGAGGAUGACCAGCCACACUGGAACUGAGACACGGCCCAGACUCCUACGGGAGGCAGCAGUGGGGAAUAUUGCACAAUGGGCGCAAGCCUGAUGCAGCCAUGCCGCGUGUAUGAAGAAGGCCUUCGGGUUGUAAAGUACUUUCAGCGGGGAGGCGUUACCCGCAGAAGAAGCACCGGCUAACUCCGUGCCAGCAGCCGCGGUAAUUC